rnacentral:rRNA from 1 species
GGUGAGGUAACGGCUCACCAAGGCAACGAUACAUAGCCGACCUGAGAGGGUGAUCGGCCACACUGGGACUGAGACACGGCCCAGACUCCUACGGGAGGCAGCAGUAGGGAAUCUUCCGCAAUGGACGAAAGUCUGACGGAGCAACGCCGCGUGAGUGAAGAAGGUUUUCGGAUCGUAAAACUCUGUUGUAAGGGNAGAACAAGUACGUUAGUAACUGAACGUACGUUGACGGUACUCUUACCAGAA